rnacentral:rRNA from 1 species
UACCAGCACCCGAGUGGUCGGGACGAUUAUUGGGCCUAAAGCAUCCGUAGCCGGCUUACAAGUCCUCCGUUAAAUCCAGCUGCUUAACAGAUGGGCUGACGGAGGUACUAUAAGACUAGGAGGCAGGAGAGGCAAGCGGUACUCAGUGGGUAGGGGUAAAAAUCCGUUGGAAUCCAUUGAAGACCACCAGUGGGCGAAGGCGGCUUGCCAGAAUGCGCUCGAACGGUGAGGGAGUGGAAAAGCUGGGGGGAAGCAAACCGGG